GACGAACGCUGGCGGCGUGCUUAACACAUGCAAGUCGAACGGAAAGGCCCUGCUUUUGUGGGGUGCUCGAGUGGCGAACGGGUGAGUAACACGUGAGUAACCUGCCCUUGACUUUGGGAUAACUUCAGGAAACUGGGGCUAAUACCGGAUAGGAGCUCCUGCUGCAUGGUGGGGGUUGGAACGUUUCGGCGGUUGGGGAUGGACUCGCGGCUUAUCAGCUUGUUGGUGGGGUAGUGGCUUACCAAGGCUUUGACGGGUAGCCGGCCUGAGAGGGUGACCGGGGACAAGGGGACUGAGAGAGGGCCAAGAGGGGAAUGGGAGACAGCAGGGGGGAGGAUGGGACAGUGGGACGGAGUGGGUGGAAACAGCGUUCGGUUGGGGAAGACGGUCUUUGGGGAGAAAAAAUCAGGAGGCUGAUACGAAGCUGGAGUGAGGGUAAGCGAAGAAUAAGCACCGGCUAACUUCGUG
rnacentral:rRNA from 1 species